rnacentral:tRNA from 3 species
GGAAGCUUGGCAGAGCGGUUGAAUGCAGCAGUCUUGAAAACUGCCGAGGAUGCGAGUCCUCCGUGAGUUCGAAUCUCACAGCUUCCGCCA